GAUGAACGCUGGCGGCGUGCCUAAUACAUGCAAGUCGAGCGAACAGACGAGGAGCUUGCUCCUCUGACGUUAGCGGCGGACGGGUGAGUAACACGUGGAUAACCUACCUAUAAGACUGGGAUAACUUUGGGAAACCGGAGCUAAUACCGGAUAAUAUAUUGAACCGCAUGGUUCAAUAGUGAAAGACGGUUUUGCUGUCACUUAUAGAUGGAUCCGCGCCGCAUUAGCUAGUUGGUAAGGUAACGGCUUACCAAGGCGACGAUGCGUAGCCGACCUGAGAGGGGGAUCGGCCACACUGGAACUGAGACACGGUCCAGACUCCUACGGGAGGCAGCAGUAGGGAAUCUUCCGCAAUGGGCGAAAGCCUGACGGAGCAACGCCGCGUGAGUGAUGAAGGUCUUCGGAUCGUAAAACUCUGUUAUUAGGGAAGAACAAAUGUGUAAGUAACUAUGCACGUCUUGACGGUACCUAAUCAGAAAGCCACGGCUAACUACGUG
rnacentral:rRNA from 1 species